rnacentral:rRNA from 1 species
CACGUAGGGGCCAAGCGUUGUCCGGAUUUAUUGGGCGUAAAGAGCUCGUAGGCGGUUCGACAAGUCGGGGUGUGAAAACUCCGGGCUCAACCCGGAGACGCCACCCGAUACUGUCGUGACUGGAGUCCGGUAGGGGAGUGGGGAAUUCCUGGUGUAGCGGUGAAAAUGCGCAGAUAUCAGGAGGAACACCCGGUGGCGAAGGCGCCACUCUGGGGCCGGUACUGACGCUGAGGAGCGAAAAGCGUGGGUAGCAAAACAGG